UUGUAACCACUGCAUUGAGUUGUAAUUUCACGGCGGCGAUGAACAAUCCAAUCCCAAGUCCCAACCAUUUGUAACGAACGCUACCGAUUUGAAGUUCUUCACUCCCGCAGCCACCUAGAUCUGCUCAAAGAAGCCUACCCCCAAUCUCCAAUACGCUACCAAAAAUGGCAAUUAGAGAACCAGAAAUCAUCAGAAACGAAUAACAGAUAGAGAAAUUGGAAAAGAUCUGUGAGAGCUCAAGGUCAUCUCUCUCUCAUUGCCGAAGCUUGAAAACACGCACAGCUUAUCGCCUUCAUUGAAGAUUCUCCGAUGAUUGAGAGAUUUAACAUCGCGGUGCUUGCGUCAUUCUUCCCUCUCGAAGUUUCGUGCCCUAAUAAAUCAGCCAGAGGUCCGAUCGAUCCGAACCUCCCGAUUGUCCUUCACCUUUGAGCUUCCGGUCUCCAAGCUAGAGGACGACUCGAUGUUCUGAAGUAGCAACACCGUCCGUUCAAUCCAAAGUCUGUCCGACAUCGAUGAUAUGAGCGGCUUUAUCUCGUUGAUCAUAGUCUGUCCUCGGAAAAGAAAAUCAGAGCAAAUGGAGGAAGCCAUGGCUAUAAUCAACCAGGUGAUGUACUAUCUGGAACAUGGUCUGAAGGGGAACACGAACACCAUUUAGGAGUGAUGCAAGAAUGGUUUGGUCAGCAAUGGUGGACUACACGUUCUGUCUUGCUGCUUCUAACAACCCUCCUUGUUUUCUCUCCUCUGAUAUCCUUUAAACGUGUAGGUGUAAUCCAUUGAAGGAAGCUAGGUAGGUGUGCAUCAUCUUGAUGAACAACAAAGUAGUAAAAAUUUCACAUUAAAAUGCCAUAGAGAAAUGAUGUCAAUGGAUUAUAAUUGGCCUGCUCAAUAGGUUGAUAUGAUUGUUUUUACAGAUGGAAGCAGAAUAAUGGGUCUUGGUGAUCUAGGAGUUUAAGGUAUUGGAAUUGCAAUUGGGAAGUUGGAUUUAUAUGUUGCUGCAGCUGGAAUAAAUCCUCAGAGAGUAAUGUCUGCACAUUAUCCAUCUUAAUAUAUACGUAUUUCUAAAAUUUCUCACUUGCAAACAUAUAUCUUUUUCCUUUUUUUCAUUGUAAUAGGUUUUUCCUAUCAUGAUUGAUGUUGGAACCAACAAUGGCAACCUUCUAGAAAAUCCCUUGGAUUUUGAAGAAUUUUUGGAAAAUAUUGAAGAGGUGAAAAGUGAUAAAUUGAAGAAAAUAUGAAAAUCUUGAUAUGAAGAAAUGAUAACACUUUGAAUCUUUGUAUUUUUUAUCGAAUAAAAUACUUGUAUUAUGUUUAUAGAUUGAUUAAUAAAAAAAAGAUUUUUUAUAA